UACAGAGGGUGCAAGCGUUAAUCGGAAUUACUGGGCGUAAAGCGUGCGUAGGCGGCCUGCUAAGUCGGAUGUGAAAUCCCUCGGCUCAACCGGGGAACUGCAUCCGAUACUGGCGGGCUUGAAUCCGGGAGAGGGAUGUGGAAUUCCAGGUGUAGCGGUGAAAUGCGUAGAUAUCUGGAGGAACACCGGUGGCGAAGGCGGCAUCCUGGACCGGUAUUGACGCUGAGGCGCGAAAGCUAGGGGAGCAAACGGG
rnacentral:rRNA from 1 species